GUAGGGUGCAAGCGUUAAUCGGAAUUACUGGGCGUAAAGCGUGCGCAGGCGGUUAUAUAAGACAGAUGUGAAGUCCCUGGGCUCAACCUGGGAACUACAUUUGUGACUGUAUAGCUAGAGUACGGCAGAGGGGGAUGGAAUUCCGCGUGUAGCAGUGAAAUGCGUAGAUAUGCGGAGGAACACCGAUGGUGAAGGCAAUCCCCUGGGCCUGUACUGACGCUCAUGCACGAAAGCGUGGGGAGCAAACAGGAUUAGAUACCCUGGUAGUCCACGCCCUAAACGAUGUCAACUGGUUGUUGGGUCUUCACUGACUCAGUAACGAAGCUAACGCGUGAAGUUGACCGCCUGGGGAGUACGGCCGCAAGGUUG
rnacentral:rRNA from 1 species